CCCGCACAAGCGGCGGAGCAUGCGGAUUAAUUCGAUGCAACGCGAAGAACCUUACCAAGGCUUGACAUACACCGGUAACGCCCAGAGAUGGGUGCCCCUUUGUGGUCGGUGUACAGGUGGUGCAUGGGUUGUCGUCAGCUCGUGUCGUGAGAUGUUGGGUUAAGUCCCGCAACGAGCGCAACCCUCGUCCUAUGUUGCCAGCGGGUCAUGCCGGGGACUCAUGGGAGACUGCCGGGGUCAACUCGGAGGAAGUGGGAUGACGUCAAAUCAUCAUGCCCCUUAUGUCUUGGGCUUCACGCAUGCUACAAUGGCCGGUACAAAGGGCUGCGAUACCGCGAGGUGGAGCGAAUCCCAGAAAGCCGGUCUCAGUUCGGAUUGGGGUCUGCAACUCGACCCCAUGAAGUCGGAGUCGCUAGUAAUCGCAGAUCAGCAACGCUGCGGUGAAUACGUUCCCGGGCCUU
rnacentral:rRNA from 1 species